rnacentral:rRNA from 1 species
GACGAACGCUGGCGGCGUGCUUAACACAUGCAAGUCGAGCGGUAAGGCCCCUUCGGGGGUACACGAGCGGCGAACGGGUGAGUAACACGUGAGCAAUCUGCCCAUCACUUCGGGAUAACUCCGGGAAACCGAAGCUAAUACCGAAUACGACCACCUCCGGCAUCGGAUGGUGGUGGAAAGUUCCGGCGGUGAUGGAUGAGCUCGCGGCCUAUCAGCUUGUUGGUGGGGUAACGGCCCACCAAGGCUUCGACGGGUAGCCGGCCUGAGAGGGUGACCGGCCACACUGGGACUGAGACACGGCCCAGACUCCUACGGGAGGCAGCAGUGGGGAAUAUUGGACAAUGGGCGAAAGCCUGAUCCAGCAACGCCGCGUGAGGGAUGACGGCCUUCGGGUCGUAAACCUCUUUCAGCAGGGACGAAGCGCAAGUGACGGUACCUGCAGAAGAAGCACCGGCCAACUACGUGCCAGCAGCCGCGGUAACAC